rnacentral:rRNA from 1 species
UGAGGAAUAUUGGUCAAUGGACGGGAGUCUGAACCAGCCAAGUAGCGUGCAGGACGACGGCCCUAUGGGUUGUAAACUGCUUUUAUAGGGGGAUAAAGUGUGCCACGUGUGGCAUAUUGCAGGUACCCUAUGAAUAAGGACCGGCUAAAUACGUGCCAGCAGCCGCGGUAAUACGUAUGGAGCAAGCGUUAUCCGGAUUUACUGGGUGUAAAGGGAGUGUAGGUGGCCAUGCAAGUCAGAAGUGAAAAUCCGGGGCUCAACCCCGGAACUGCUUUUGAAACUGUAAGGCUGGAGUGCAGGAGGGGUGAGUGGAAUUCCUAGUGUAGCGGUGAAAUGCGUAGAUAUUAGGAGGAACACCAGUGGCGAAGGCGGCUCACUGGACUGUAACUGACACUGAGGCUCGAAAGCGUGGGGAGCAAACAGGAUUAGAUACCCUGGUA